AGCAUAUCAAUAAGCGGAGGAAAAGAAACCAACAGGGAUUGCCCUAGUAACGGCGAGUGAAGCGGCAACAGCUCAAAUUUGAAAUCUGUCCCUCUCAGGGUCCGAGUUGUAAUUUGCAGAGGGUGCUUUGGCGUUGGCUGUGGUCUAAGUUCCUUGGAACAGGACGUCACAGAGGGUGAGAAUCCCGUACGUGGCCGCCGGCCUUCGCCGUGUAAAGCCCCUUCGACGAGUCGAGUUGUUUGGGAAUGCAGCUCUAAAUGGGAGGUAAAUUUCUUCUAAAGCUAAAUAUUUGCCAGAGACCGAUAGCGCACAAGUAGAGUGAUCGAAAGAUGAAAAGCACUUUGGAAAGAGAGUCAAAAAGCACGUGAAAUUGUUGAAAGGGAAGCGCUUGCAGCUAGACGUGCCUCGGGUUGAUCAGCCGGACUUUUGCCCGGUGCACUCUUCCUUUGGCAGGCCAGCAUCAGUUUGGGCGGCUGGAUAAAGGUCUGUUAAACGUGACUUCCUUCGGGGAGAGCUUAUAGGGCAGACGACAUGCAGCCAGCCUGAACUGAGGUCCGCGCAUCUGCUAGGAUGCUGGCGUAAUAGCUGUAAGCGGCCCGUCUUGAAACACGGACCAAGGAGUCUAACAUCUAUGCGAGUGUUUGGGUGUCAAGCCCGAGCGCGCAAUGAAAGUAAACGGAGGUGGGAACCCUUGGGUGCACCAUCGACCGAUCCUGAUGUCUUCGGAUGGAUUUGAGUAAGAGCAUAGCUGUUGGGACCCGAAAGAUGGUGAACUAUGCCUGAAUAGGGUGAAGCCAGAGGAAACUCUGGUGGAGGCUCGCAGCGGUUCUGACGUGCAAAUCGAUCGUCAAAUUUGGGCAUAGGGGCGAAAGACUAAUCGAACUAUCUAGUACCUGGUUCCUGC
rnacentral:rRNA from 1 species